rnacentral:rRNA from 1 species
CCUACGGGUGGCAGCAGUGGGGAAUAUUGGGCAAUGGGCGCAAGCCUGACCCAGCAACGCCGCGUGAAGGAAGAAGGCUUUCGGGUUGUAAACUUCUUUUCUCAGGGACGAAGAAAGUGACGGUACCUGAGGAAUAAGCCACGGCUAACUACGUGCCAGCAGCCGCGGUAAUACGUAGGUGGCAAGCGUUAUCCGGAUUUAGUGGGUGUAAAGGGCGUGUAGGCGGGAGCGCAAGUCAGAUGUGAAAACUCAGGGCUCAACCCUGAGCCUGCAUUUGACACUUUGUUUCUUGAGUGCUGGAGAGGCAAUCGGAAUUCCGUGUGUAGCGGUGAAAUGCGUAGAUAUACGGAGGAACACCAGUGGCGAAGGCGGUCUGCUGGACAGCAACUGACGGUGAGGCGCGAAAGCGUGGGGAGCAAACAGGAUUAGAUACCCCAGUAGUC